CUUCGAAACAUAUUUUGCCUUGAUUUCACAAAACAUAUUGCUGAAAACUUUCGUCUUAAACCUGUAAUCAGUUUCAGUUGGGUUAAUUUCGCAACAUUCAGGAUAAAUUGAUGACGAUGAUACUUGCUGGCUACUGUACCCUUUUUCCACUGUGGUUUUAAUUUGCUCAAGAGCAAAAAUGUUGUCGUGAAAUCUUUGUUUCAAGACGUUAGCCAAUAGAUCAAUUUCUCUUUUACCA